GCUGUUGGUGUACAGGGAGAAGAGCAGGGGGGAAAGAACGCAGCCUUGGGGGGAACCGGUGCUGAUGGUCCGAGAGGCUGAGACAUGUUUCCCCAGCUUCACGUGCUGCUUCCUGUCAGACAGGAAGUCUGUGAUCCACUUGCAGGUGGAGUCGGGCACGUGCAGCUGGGAGAGUUUGUCCUGCAGCAGAGAUGGGAUGAUGGUGUUGAAGGCAGAGCUUAAGUCCACAAACAGGAUCCUGGCGUAGGUUCCUGGGGAGUCCAGAUGCUGGAGGAUGUAGCGGAGGGCCAUGUUGACAGCGUCGUCCACAGGCGUGUUGGCUCUGUAGGCAAACUGCAGGGGGUCCAGGAGGGGGUCGGUAAGGGACUUCAGGUGGGACGGGACUAGCCGUUCAAAAGACUUCUGGCGCGUUUCCACCGAGCGGUACGGUACGGUACGGGUCGGUACCCUUUUAUUUGUGUCUCCACUGCCAAAAGUUGAGAAUAGUACCAAAAAUCCAUACCGUACCACUUCUUGGGACCCUUCCGUUAGGGUACCUGGCACAGUUGUUUGGUACUAAAGGGUGGAGCUAGACUCACUGCAGAACGUUGAUUGGUUGAAAGAGUGUCGUCAUUUGUGCAUGCCGCGAGGGGAAAAAAGACAACACACGAGGCGCCAUUUUUAAACUACAACACCGUCGCAGCAAUGUCGCCGCGCAGCAUUACUUUACCGUGGUCAACCCAGGAGGUGCAGACCUUCUUGGGUAUCAUCGGUGAAGAAAGGGUGCAAAGGGAACUCUAUGGCAUGGUGAGAAACGAAAAUGUUUUUCAGCAUGUUUCAGAGAGGAUGGCUGUCGAGGGUUACCAGCGGACAUCCGAGCAGUGCUGCAUUAAAUGCAAGAAUCUGCGGAGUGACUACCGUAAGGUGAAAGACCACAACAGCCGGAGUGGUGUUCACAGAAAAAUUGGAAGUGGCUAGAUAUGAUGGACUUAAUCUACGGACACAGACCGGCGAGUUUGGGACGAGAAGGAGGCAUCGAUAGGGCCACCUCGUUGCUGGAGUCGACGAUGGAGCCUCCCGUUGAGCAUCCUAGCUGUCGGGAGGAAAUGGAACCCCAAUUUCCACCCUUGAAAGCGCAAGUUCCCCUGCCAGGACUUCAACACCACCAGAAUCUUCUCCAUCAACUGGGAGUGAACCUCGGCGUAUUACAAUUGGCUGAGAUGCAGGAGUGGCUGGAAAAGAUGGAGACCGCUGUGACCGGCGCUUCUAACUUAUGAUGGAGGAUGCCCGUGAGGCAAGGCGGCAUGAGGCUGAUAUAACUCGCCUACAUAUGGAGCAGUCUGCGAACUUUAAUCAGGCCUUCCUCGGAACGCUCACUCAGCUGGUACUGGUGCACCCCAACUCUGUGCUAUGAUCCAGCCACUAGUGCUCUUUUGCACACAGC
ensembl:lncRNA